rnacentral:rRNA from 1 species
UUCGUAGGCGGUGUGGCAAGUUGGGAGUGAAAUCUCUGGGCUUAACCCAGAGGCUGCUUCCAAAACUGCUGUGCUUGAGUGUGGGAGAGGCGCGUGGAAUUGCAGGUGUAGCGGUGAAAUGCGUAGAUAUCUGCAGGAACACCCGUGGCGAAAGCGGCGCGCUGGACCACUACUGGCGCUGAGGAACGAAAGCUAGGGGAGCAAACAGGAUUAGAUACCCUGGUAGUCCUAGCCCUAAACGAUCGGGACUUGGGGUGCCGCACGUUCGUGCGUCGUCCCGGAGCUAACGCGUUAAGUCCCGCGCCUGGGGAGUACGGUCGCAAGACUGAA